rnacentral:misc_RNA from 1 species
GCAACACGGCUCUCUUCUUCCUUCGGUCUGCUCUUGCUACAGAUGAUUUCAAGGCACUGACACACACACACACACACACACACACACACACACACACACACACGAGGAGGUCGUCCCCACCCCUCCCUUCCCCAAGAGGCAACGAAUGGGGUGAACAGAAGGGGCGAAAGGGCGAGACGAAGCACGCUCAUCAGACUCCUUGUCUAGGGCGGUUUCGCACAAACAAAAAAGUACUAGAAACCAAACAAACCCCGGACACAUUCUGUUCACGUCCAUGUGUGUCUGUGUCUGUGCACCAACCCUUUUUCCGAGAACUGCCACGGACUGCCCUUCCCAGAGUCCACUGGUGCCGCGAGACGCACAGACCAACCUGCACCCAAAAUCCUUUACAGUAGAACGGCAUACUCUCCUCGCUCUUUUUUCAAGAGCUAGAAAUAUAGACACAGGCAGAGAGGACGGAGGCCUCACUUCAUGCCAUUUGAUGGUGCAGAGGUGGAGGGAGGAGUAUCUUCACACACAGGCGUUCUGCAUUCACCCCCACACCACUCCCGCCGGACCCUCACCCUUCCCCGUUCUGUCCCCACCUUAUCGUUGACGCAAAUGCGUACUGUGCCCAUCACCCUACUCUUUUAUUUCGUCUUGUGAUUCCUCCUCCCGCUGUUUGCUUUUCUUUGCCCGGCUCUUUCUGAGAGUUGCGCGCGGCGGCCAGUGAAGAGCAGGAGCUGGCCGAAUAUUUCAGAAGCAAAGGUGCGGCGUGACGGCCGUUUUCCUUCUGCGGCCUCUUUGGCGAGGUGCGCACUGCGAGGGAUCCGAAUCUCCUUUGGCCCUCUCCGGGGAUGAAGCACGGGAAACAGACCGCCGCUGCAGCUCGCACGGGAACCCAGUCGGCGAGCUCUGGAGUCUCGGUACUGCAAAGCCUCCAAAAUGAGAAUGACGCCCUUCGAUCAGAGCUGCUGCGGGUGAAGCAGCACAAAGCGCACAUGCAGCGGCAGCUGCAUGACUUGCGCGCGGUGGCGGAGCGGACGGCGCGGGAGGCGGCAAUGUCGGGCAAGGAGCAAGUGCGUGCUCUGGAAGAGCGUUGCCGACUGCUCGCAGAUCGGCUUGUUGGAUCGAAGCGGGAGGAGCAGGUGACCGAGACGGCACGCGUAGGCUUUCUCCUGCGCUCGCAGAUUGAGGAACGUCGGUUCCUGAAGCGCGGAUUGGAGGCGAUGCAAGAGGUUUUGGCCAAUGUGGACGGCAGUGCGGCGUCUGUAUCUAGGAUUGACCACCCCUCCACCAACGCUUCUACUCAUCCAGAGGGCAAGGAGCCGGAAGGGGAAGUGCACACGGGGGACCUGCACCGCUUGAUGAUGACCGUGUCAGGCUCCCUGCACGCCCAUACAGCUUCCGCAAAGCUCGAGAAGGCGCGUAUCCGGCUGACUCUCGAACAGGCUGCCUCGCUUGUAGACGAGCUGCAUGACGCGGUGGAAGAUGCGGCGCGCGCUGCUUUCGACGCUGCAGUUCAGGCCAAUGUUGCGUGCGACGCUGGUACCACAUCCCCGGCUGGUGGUGACGUUUUUCAACUCUCCUCAGUGCUGAUGGUUCCCUGCGGGGCGCCUGCCAGCGCAGUGCAGAACGCCAGCAGCUUCACUCCUGCUCACCGUCGUGGUGGCGGACGCGACGGCUACCUUGCCGGCUCUGCCGACGCCGCCUCGUCUCUUCGCCACCAAGGCGCGGGGGCCUUUCCACUCGCUUACUCGUUGAUGACGCCGCCGUCGUCCGCGCAACUUGGCUUGGAGCUGGAGUGGGUGUGUGACGUGCUGAAGGCUUGCAUGAAGGGUGCAGCGGAGGUGCGCGCGCUCAUCGGCGCCGCUGCAGAGGGUCUCAGGGCGCCGCUGCCGCUGUUACAGCGACGCUGCGACGCGGGCGACCGCUCCUCGACGACCGAGCAAGCACCUCCGCUGGCGUCAGCAGCCAGUCCAGAAAUGAACGCGCUGCUCCGCAGUUUUCUCGAGGAUCUCUGGACUCUCAAGCAACAGGCCGCCCGACAGCAGGAGGACAUGGCGCGACAGCUGGCGCAAGAAGUGGAGCGGCACUUUCAGUCGACGCAGCAGUACGAGCAGCGCGUAAAGCUACUCGAGGCUGAGUGUGCUCGGUUGCUCUUUUACGUGGAGCGGCAGGCGACGCAGAGGCCGGGAGUAGAUGCGACGACGCAGACGUCUUCCCGUCAGAACGCAACAGUGUCCGAGACUCUCAUGCCGGCCUUGGUGCCCGUCCAGGAUACCCCUGUCACGCCAGAGCGCUACGUGGCGAGUCGUGAUGUGGCGAAGCUGUCGGAACGGAGAAGUGCUCGACCUCCACGAAAGCCUCCAGUGGCGACAUCGCGUGUGCUUCUCGCUGGACAGCGCACCCCUCCUCGCGUAAGUAGCCCGUUAAGGCCCAAGGAGACGCAGCAUGCGGCCCUUCUCUCCUCGGCUAGCCACACCAUGGAGGCCAAUGACCCGGCGCGCGCGAACCGCGACACCACGUCGUACUACUUUCAGAAGGGCCUCUCAUUCAGCCAGCCCUCCUCGCCCUCGAAACCGUCGCGCGCCACCGCGCCCAACGCUCCGUCUCCCGCGGCGUCUGCGAUAAGGUCCGCGUAUGGAGAUCAAAAGGUCACGCUGCAACGCCCCGCUUCAGAGGCCCUGCGGUCACCACCGCGACUUCCCUCUCAACUGCUCUCUCCUGCGCCGCCUCUUGUGCACCCAAAGGCCCUCACCAUCACUAGCGCUUCGACUGUCCCUGCACACAGUCUCUCUCCGCGGCGGCGCUCGACGACGGUGUCUAUGCCGUCGCGAUCGCGAGGCACGGCACCGUUUCGUGCCGGCUCCUCGACAGCAACGCGUUCCUCUGCGUCGUUCACAUCCAAAAGACGUUCUCCAGUGCGUCCCGGCAACGUCGCGGACAGCUUGGUGUCGUCGCACCAACGCACGCACACCGCUGCUGCCUCUCUUUCCUCCGCAGAGCCGCGGCCUGCCAUCACGGCUGCUGCCGUGCCGCGAGACUCUACCCCUUCUCCCUCUGGUACCUCCGUCGCCACUCCGCGUCCAGGGCGUGAGACGAGUCGUCACUGCACCCAUUUAUCACAGCAGAUUUACAGCGAGGCGGCCGCCGACGUUUUCUCUUUCCACUCUACUACCUUCGGCGGCGCCCCUUCGGCACUGUCAUCGGUGCGGCACCUUCAGUCAGAGUCUUCGCGGAUGAGCGACGUUGGCAGCACUGCAGAGGUGCAGACGCCGUCUCCUCGACGGCCAGUACGGCUCUCACUCUACCUCAACCGCGCUUCGCCUGGUGAGGCCGCCGUGCUGAGGACUGCACGGCAGCUUCACACCCCACCCUCUCCUGUCUCAGCGGUACUGUCGGGGCACGUCCUUGGAGACGGUAGCACAGUGGGCAUCUCGCGACAGGCAGAGACGCCGAGCACCCCUCCGAUUUGGCGUCGUAUCAAGGAGGAGGCGUCCUUUCAACGCCAACAUCUACCCUCGCCUAUUGCCGGCGGUGACGCCUCCUCCUUGUUCGGCACACCUCACGAAGUGCCGUGGACAAACGCAUGAGGGACUCGAUCUUGAGCCGUCGAAGGUGGGGGAGGGGGUGGGAGGCAGGUGAAGGGGACAGCGCUCUGUAUUUGUGAGAGGGGUAGCUACAGCUGCUACGCGUUCCACUGGAUACUCAAGUAUGACUGAGUUGCCUUUCGAGCACAGGUAGUUGACACUCGUAUGUGUGCGUGUGUGCGCUCUCCGAUGCGACUGUCACCACAUCCACGCUCAUGCGCAGGAACUUUGCGUACAUUCGCAGGUGGCUUCUUCCCUCCGUGCAAGACGCAGCGCACCGGCACUCGUGCACGCUGGCCGGCGUUGGUGUCUCGUGUGACUAUCUCGACCAACACUCACAAUGACAUACACACACACACACACAGACACACACGUACACAGACAGACGCAGACACGUGCAGCAACACGCGUCUGGUCUUUUCCUGGAGUUCAUCGUAAGACCUUGUGCAGAGGUGCCUGGUAGAGGGACGGGACUGCAAUACAGACAUGCAGCGGCUUUCUUCUUUCAGAGUUGUGUUCCUAAGAAGUUGUUUCCACACACUUCUCUCUUUGCGGUUCCCUUCUUCCCUGACACGCGCGACCUCCGAGUUUGCACACACUCUCUGUUGUGAACUUUCUCCAUCGCCUCCUCUCAUAUUUGACUGACACCCUUCGCUGCACACGGAUGGCAUGAACUCAAAUGGCUGCAUCCUUUUCUGUUGUGCGCGCGCACACACACACACACACAUGCGCACACAUCUAUGCGCGUAUACUCCCAUGCGACAG